rnacentral:rRNA from 1 species
GACGAACGCUGGCGGCGUGCUUAACACAUGCAAGUCGAACGGAAAGGCCCUGCUUUUGUGGGGUGCUCAAGUGGCGAACGGGUGAGUAACAGGUGAGUAACCUGCCCUUGACUUUGGGAUAACUUCAGGAAACUGGGGCUAAUACCGGAUAGGAGCUCCGGCUGCAUGGGGGGGGUGGGAAAGUUUCGGCGGUUGGGGAUGGACUCGCGGCUUAUCAGCUUGUUGGUGGGGUAGUGGCUUACCAAGGCUUUGACGGGUAGCCGGCCUGAGAGGGUGACCGGCCACAUUGGGACUGAGAUACGGCCCAGACUCCUACGGGAGGCAGCAGUGGGGAAUAUUGCACAAUGGGCGGAAGCCUGAUGCAGCAACGCCGCGUGCGGGAUGACGGCCUUCGGGUUGUAAACCGCUUUCGCCUGUGACGAAGCGUGAGUGACGGUAAUGGGUAAAGAAGCACCGGCUAACUACGUG